rnacentral:sRNA from 1 species
UGGUUCAUCCCCACGGUCGUGGGAGACAGCCUAUAAACAGACACGCCCAUAUUAGGGUUAGCGGUUCAUCCCCACGGUCGUGGGAGACAGUGCCUGCAAUUAGGCAAGUUAUCGUCAUUGAUCGGUUCAUCCCCACGGUCGUGGGAGACAGUGUCAGGAGCAGGCGUAUAUGUAACCUCUACUCGGUUCAUCCCCACGGUCGUGGGAGGCAGUUCAUCCUGCUCGUAUUUUUCCUUGUUGAUCGCGGUUCAUCCCCACGGUCGUGGGAGACAGCCGGGUAACCGUUUUGACAGAUAUAUCAAGGGCGGUUCAUCCCCACGGUCGUGGGAGACAGACGUUACCGUUGCGAUCAUUGAUCACCUCGACCGGUUCAUCCCCACGGUCGUGGGAGACAGGCCAUACACCUGUAUUCUAUUUCCGCAAUUUGCGGUUCAUCCCCACGGUCGUGGGAGACAGGACGACCCUGAAUCUAAAGCUGAUUUAAAAGUCGGUUCAUCCCCACGGUCGUGGGAGACAGUCCGGAGGAAAUACACAGGAGUCGCUUGGUGACGGUUCAUCCCCACGGUCGUGGGAGACAGGGCUAACAAUUCCUGCUACAUGUGGGACAUCACGGUUCAUCCCCACGGUCGUGGGAGACAGAGGAACAUGCCUUCCUGAUACACCUGUUCCCGCGGUUCAUCCCCACGGUCGUGGGAGACAGUCCUUUUUAUUCUUGUUUUGGUAGUGCUAGCCCGGUUCAUCCCCACGGUCGUGGGAGACAGAAAUAGAGAGUCUGAAAAGUAAUUAAAAAACCCGGUUCAUCCCCACGGUCGUGGGAGACAGCGUGACAAUGUGCGCUCCAGCCAUACACGCCACGGUUCAUCCCCACGGUCGUGGGAGACAGAGCAAUGGUUUUGACGUGGGCUGUCGUUAGUUCGGUUCAUCCCCACGGUCGUGGGAGACAGGCAAUCUAUAUAAAACCGUUAGUAACCAGGCACGGUUCAUCCCCACGGUCGUGGGAGACAGGCUGCUCCGCUAAUAAUGCCGGACUGAUCCGGCGGUUCAUCCCCACGGUCGUGGGAGACAGCGGUUGGCAUCAGCCCAGAGAUCCGCUGUCCUCGGUUCAUCCCCACGGUCGUGGGAGACAGUACGUGUCCAACAUUGAGCGCAGAAGAAAGGGCGGUUCAUCCCCACGGUCGUGGGAGACAGGGCAAGCGUUCCCAUCAUCAGCUCUUCUGCUGCGGUUCAUCCCCACGGUCGUGGGAGACAGUGGCUGCUGAUGCUGCGGGUCAGCAAUGUAACCGGUUCAUCCCCACGGUCGUGGGAGACAGGUUAUUAAUUUCAUUCCAUGUUGACGAAAGAGCGGUUCAUCCCCACGGUCGUGGGAGACAGGCCUGAACCAACCAUUCCCUUCGUCCUCAUAACGGUUCAUCCCCACGGUCGUGGGAGACAGUUUCUGGCUUCACGGGUGAUUCUUGCUCUUGGCGGUUCAUCCCCACGGUCGUGGGAGACAGACAACCAGUUCGGCUUCACGAUAGCGGCCCCACGGUUCAUCCCCACGGUCGUGGGAGACAGUGUACGACUGUACCUUAGCGUACGAUUUUUUCCGGUUCAUCCCCACGGUCGUGGGAGACAGUGCCGAAUGAAUUGAUAAAUUGGUACUCUUACCGGUUCAUCCCCACGGUCGUGGGAGACAGGAGCCGAAAUGAUAGAAGCCACUUCUUCAGGGCGGUUCAUCCCCACGGUCGUGGGAGACAGUAGACAUCCGCAAUUGCUCAUCUUUCGGUAGACGGUUCAUCCCCACGGUCGUGGGAGACAGCUCGUCUGUUCUGUCCGGAUCAAUGGUGCCAGCGGUUCAUCCCCACGGUCGUGGGAGACAGGCUUUGCUGCCGAUAAUCACGGCUGCAUAGUCCGGUUCAUCCCCACGGUCGUGGGAGACAGUGGCUCGUAUCUCCCAGUGGUCAGGCAAAAGCCGGUUCAUCCCCACGGUCGUGGGAGACAGACAGAAUCAAUGAAAGGUAGUGAGUUACUGCCCGGUUCAUCCCCACGGUCGUGGGAGACAGGCCAGAAGCAGCAUCCAUUGAGAAUGAAGAGGCGGUUCAUCCCCACGGUCGUGGGAGACAGCGUCCCUGACAGGCUGUUGCUGUAAGCACGUUCGGUUCAUCCCCACGGUCGUGGGAGACAGGUGUAGUACUGGCUACAUGCUGGACUGCCGUUCGGUUCAUCCCCACGGUCGUGGGAGACAGAUCAACAUCAACAAUCCGGGACUCGAUAAGCUCGGUUCAUCCCCACGGUCGUGGGAGACAGUGCCUCUGCAAUUCUGCGCCUGUCGUCUGCUGCGGUUCAUCCCCACGGUCGUGGGAGACAGUGAUUCAUCUAACUAAAGACCAGGAAUCCCAGCGGUUCAUCCCCACGGUCGUGGGAGACAGUCUAUCUCCUGAAAAACUACUGGAAGGCUUCGCGGUUCAUCCCCACGGUCGUGGGAGACAGUAGUUUCCUACAGGCAUAAAAAAAGCCCCGCACGGUUCAUCCCCACGGUCGUGGGAGACAGGGGUAUUUUCUGCUUGCCGCCUGUCUCGAACUCGGUUCAUCCCCACGGUCGUGGGAGACAGUGUCGUUCCUUCUGGCGCAUUCUCAACAACGACGGUUCAUCCCCACGGUCGUGGGAGACAG